GCAUUAGUCAGGAAAGGCAACUCAGUGAUCCCUUCAGCUCCAAUGAUGAACUUUGUGCGUGCCCAGAUCAAGAAAGCAGCUGAUGAGACCGAGACUAUUCUGGAAACAACCCCGGCUGGCAAAAGCGAUGGGGAAGGUGCACUUCGAGCAUUCAUUAAGCGCCAGGGCCAAAAGUUAAGGCGGCUAUCAAACCUUUUCGGUUGUCGUGA